rnacentral:rRNA from 1 species
GACGAACGCUGGCGGCGUGCUUAACACAUGCAAGUCGAACGGUAAGGCCCUUCGGGGUACACGAGUGGCGAACGGGUGAGUAACACGUGGGUGAUCUGCCCUGCACUUCGGGAUAAGCCUGGGAAACUGGGUCUAAUACCGGAUAGGACCACUGCCUGCAUGGGUGGUGGUGGAAAGCUUUUGCGGUGUGGGAUGGGCCCGCGGCCUAUCAGCUUGUUGGUGGGGUGAUGGCCUACCAAGGCGACGACGGGUAGCCGGCCUGAGAGGGUGACCGGCCACACUGGGACUGAGAUACGGCCCAGACUCCUACGGGAGGCAGCAGUGGGGAAUAUUGCACAAUGGGCGCAAGCCUGAUGCAGCGACGCCGCGUGGGGGAUGACGGCCCUCGGGUUGUAAACCUCUUUCAGCACCGACGAAGCGCAAGUGACGGUAGGUGCAGAAGAAGGACCGGCCAACUACGUGCCAGCAGCCGCCGUAA